AGGUCUUGACAUCCCUUGACAACUCCAGAGAUGGAGCGUUCCCUUCGGGGACAAGGUGACAGGUGGUGCAUGGUUGUCGUCAGCUCGUGUCGUGAGAUGUUGGGUUAAGUCCCGCAACGAGCGCAACCCUUAUUACUAGUUGCCAGCAUUCAGUUGGGCACUCUAGUGAGACUGCCGGUGACAAACCGGAGGAAGGUGGGGAUGACGUCAAAUCAUCAUGCCCCUUAUGACCUGGGCUACACACGUGCUACAAUGGCGUAUACAACGAGUUGCCAACCCGCGAGGGUGAGCUAAUCUCUUAAAGUACGUCUCAGUUCGGAUUGUAGGCUGCAACUCGCCUACAUGAAGUCGGAAUCGCUAGUAAUCGCGGAUCAGCACGCCGCGGUGAAUACGUUCCCGGGUCUU
rnacentral:rRNA from 1 species